rnacentral:tRNA from 1 species
CAGCAGCUGGCGGCGGACCUGCUGCUGCUGGCGCGGCUGGACGCGGGGGAGCGGCCGGGUUCGGCGGUUCUGGAUCCGGCGCAGUUGC